rnacentral:lncRNA from 1 species
GAUGCAGAAGUCCUCAUCAAGAUACUUGGAAACAGAACUCGACAAUACAUUUAAAAGGUCAUACACCAGGGGCCAGGUAUUUAGCUCACCAGUUCCGCCACCUGCCUCACAAGCAUAAGGUCCUGAGUUCGAUCCCCAGUACCAAAAAAAAAAAAAAAAGGAUCAUACACCAGAUCAAGUUGAUUUCAUUCAGGGAUGCAAAGAUGGUUCAACAUAGUCAAGUCAAUAAAGGUGGAAGAUACCUCCCAUGUUUCCAUGACAUCCAAUCAGCCUCAUGGAGAUGUCAUAAUAGGAAAGAACUGAGGCUUCCAGCCACCAUCUGUGUGAAGGAGCCAUCUGGAACUGAUACCUCCAGUCAGUCUCAGGUCUACAAUUGCAUCCUGUGUUGUUGUUUUUUUCCUGAGCCACUUGAAGCAUAAUCAGCAUGGAUAUAUGGAGAACUAUUUGUUUCUGAAACUUAGGGGAAAAUGUCAUUAUAAUAAGACUGAAAAGAACAAAUGAUAGCUCUGCAUGUGCAUAACGGGAAGGCCCACCUUGGGUGCAGAUGGACUAACCAAUAGGCUUGUACCCUGCAUUGAAUAAAGAGAAAGAUGGAAGGCAGGCUUACUGCCUCCUGCCAGCCACAGCAUGAACUGUUUUUCCUCUGCCAUGCUGCCCUG